rnacentral:rRNA from 1 species
GUGUAUGGCCAUACCACCCUGAGAACGCCUCAUCUCAUCUGAUCUCAGAAGCUAAGCAGGGUCGAGCCUGGUUAGUACUUGGAUGUGACACUGCCUGGGAAUACCAGGUACUGUAGGCU